GGGUUGUGAGGUUAAGCGACUAAGCGUACACGGUGGAUGCCCUGGCAGUCAGAGGCGAUGAAGGGCGUGCUAAUCUGCGAUAAGCGCCGGUAAGGUGAUAUGAACCGUUAUAACCGGCGAUACCCGAAUGGGGAAACCCAGUGUGAUUCGUCACACUAUCAUUAACUGAAUCCAUAGGUUAAUGAGGCGAACCGGGGGAACUGAAACAUCUAAGUACCCCGAGGAAAAGAAAUCAACCGAGAUUCCCCCAGUAGCGGCGAGCGAACGGGGAGGAGCCCAGAGCCUGAAUCAGCAUGUGUGUUAGUGGAAGCGUCUGGAAAGGCGCGCGAUACAGGGUGACAGCCCCGUACACAAAAGCGCAUGUGUUGUGAGCUCGAUGAGUAGGGCGGGACACGUGGUAUCCUGUCUGAAUAUGGGGGGACCAUCCUCCAAGGCUAAAUACUCCUGACUGACCGAUAGUGAACCAGUACCGUGAGGGAAAGGCGAAAAGAACCCCGGCGAGGGGAGUGAAAAAGAACCUGAAACCGUGUACGUACAAGCAGUGGGAGCACCCUUUGGGGUGUGACUGCGUACCUUUUGUAUAAUGGGUCAGCGACUUAUAUUCUGUAGCAAGGUUAACCGAAUAGGGGAGCCGGAGGGAAACCGAGUCUUAAUUGGGCGUUAAGUUGCAGGGUAUAGACCCGAAACCCGGUGAUCUAGCCAUGGGCAGGUUGAAGGUUGGGUAACACUAACUGGAGGACCGAACCGACUAAUGUUGAAAAAUUAGCGGAUGACCUGUGGCUGGGGGUGAAAGGCCAAUCAAACCGGGAGAUAGCUGGUUCUCCCCGAAAGCUAUUUAGGUAGCGCCUCGUGAAUUCAUCUCCGGGGGUAGAGCACUGUUUCGGCUAGGGGGCCAUCCCGGCUUACCAACCCGAUGCAAACUGCGAAUACCGGAGAAUGUUAUCACGGGAGACACACGGCGGGUGCUAACGUCCGUCGUGAAGAGGGAAACAACCCAGACCGCCAGCUAAGGUCCCAAAGUCAUGGUUAAGUGGGAAACGAUGUGGGAAGGCCCAGACAGCCAGGAUGUUGGCUUAGAAGCAGCCAUCAUUUAAAGAAAGCGUAAUAGCUCACUGGUCGAGUCGGCCUGCGCGGAAGAUGUAACGGGGCUAAACCAUGCACCGAAGCUGCGGCAGCGANNUGCUGGAGGUAUCAGAAGUGCGAAUGCUGACAUAAGUAACGAUAAAGCGGGUGAAAAGCCCGCUCGCCGGAAGACCAAGGGUUCCUGUCCAACGUUAAUCGGGGCAGGGUGAGUCGACCCCUAAGGCGAGGCCGAAAGGCGUAGUCGAUGGGAAACGGGUUAAUAUUCCCGUACUUGGUGUUACUGCGAAGGGGGGACGGAGAAGGCUAUGUUGGCCGGGCGACGGUUGUCCCGGUUUAAGCGUGUAGGUGUGUGUUCCAGGUAAAUCCGGUUCACUUUAACACUGAGGCGUGACGACGAGGCACUACGGUGCUGAAGCAACAAAUGCCCUGCUUCCAGGAAAAGCCUCUAAGCAUCAGGUAACAUCAAAUCGUACCCCAAACCGACACAGGUGGUCAGGUAGAGAAUACCAAGGCGCUUGAGAGAACUCGGGUGAAGGAACUAGGCAAAAUGGUGCCGUAACUUCGGGAGAAGGCACGCUGACACGUAGGUGAAGUGAUUUACUCAUGGAGCUGAAGUCAGUCGAAGAUACCAGCUGGCUGCAACUGUUUAUUAAAAACACAGCACUGUGCAAACACGAAAGUGGACGUAUACGGUGUGACGCCUGCCCGGUGCCGGAAGGUUAAUUGAUGGGGUCAGCGCAAGCGAAGCUCCUGAUCGAAGCCCCGGUAAACGGCGGCCGUAACUAUAACGGUCCUAAGGUAGCGAAAUUCCUUGUCGGGUAAGUUCCGACCUGCACGAAUGGCGUAAUGAUGGCCAGGCUGUCUCCACCCGAGACUCAGUGAAAUUGAACUCGCUGUGAAGAUGCAGUGUACCCGCGGCAAGACGGAAAGACCCCGUGAACCUUUACUAUAGCUUGACACUGAACAUUGAGCCUUGAUGUGUAGGAUAGGUGGGAGGCUUUGAAGUGUGGACGCCAGUCUGCAUGGAGCCGACCUUGAAAUACCACCCUUUAAUGUUUGAUGUUCUAACGUGGACCCGUGAUCCGGGUUGCGGACAGUGUCUGGUGGGUAGUUUGACUGGGGCGGUCUCCUCCUAAAGAGUAACGGAGGAGCACGAAGGUUGGCUAAUCCUGGUCGGACAUCAGGAGGUUAGUGCAAUGGCAUAAGCCAGCUUGACUGCGAGCGUGACGGCGCGAGCAGGUGCGAAAGCAGGUCAUAGUGAUCCGGUGGUUCUGAAUGGAAGGGCCAUCGCUCAACGGAUAAAAGGUACUCCGGGGAUAACAGGCUGAUACCGCCCAAGAGUUCAUAUCGACGGCGGUGUUUGGCACCUCGAUGUCGGCUCAUCACAUCCUGGGGCUGAAGUAGGUCCCAAGGGUAUGGCUGUUCGCCAUUUAAAGUGGUACGCGAGCUGGGUUUAGAACGUCGUGAGACAGUUCGGUCCCUAUCUGCCGUGGGCGCUGGAGAACUGAGGGGGGCUGCUCCUAGUACGAGAGGACCGGAGUGGACGCAUCACUGGUGUUCGGGUUGUCAUGCCAAUGGCACUGCCCGGUAGCUAAAUGCGGAAGAGAUAAGUGCUGAAAGCAUCUAAGCACGAAACUUGCCCCGAGAUGAGUUCUCCCUGAGACUUAGAGUCUCCUGAAGGAACGUUGAAGACGACGACGUUGAUAGGCCGGGUGUGUAAGCGCAGCGAUGCGUUGAGCUAACCGGUACUAAUGAACCGUGAGGCUUAACCUUACAACGCCGAAG
rnacentral:rRNA from 1 species